UACGAAGGGGGCUAGGCGUUGCUCGGAAUCACUGGGCGUAAAGGGUGCGUAGGCGGGUCUUUAAGUCAGGGGUGAAAUCCUGGAGCUCAACUCCAGAACUGCCUUUGAUACUGAGGAUCUUGAGUUCGGGAGAGGUGAGUGGAACUGCGAGUGUAGAGGUGAAAUUCGUAGAUAUUCGCAAGAACACCCGUGGCGAAGGCGGUUCUCUGGGACGGUACUGACGCUGAGACGCGAAAGCGUGGGGAGCGAACAGG
rnacentral:rRNA from 1 species